CCUACGGGUGGCAGCAGUGGGGAAUAUUGGGCAAUGGGCGCAAGCCUGACCCAGCAAUGCCGCGUGCAGGAAGAAGGCUUUCGGGUUGUAAACUUCUUUGACCGGGGAAGAGCAGAAGACGGUACCCUGAAAACAAGCCACGGCUAACUACGUGCCAGCAGCCGCGGUAAUACGUAGGUGGCAAGCGUUAUCCGGAUUUACUGGGUGUAAAGGGAGCGCAGACGGCUGUGCAAGUCUGGAGUGAAAGGCGGGGGCCCAACCCCCGGACUGCGCUGGAAACUGUAAAGCUGGAGUGCAGGAGAGGUAAGCGGAAUGCCGAGUGUAGCGGUGAAAUGCGUAGAUAUUAGGAGGAACACCAGUGGCGAAGGCGGCUUACUGGACUGCAACUGACGUUGAGGCUCGAAAGCGUGGGGAGCAAACAGGAUUAGAUACCCGUGUAGUC
rnacentral:rRNA from 1 species